rnacentral:rRNA from 1 species
GUUGAACGCUGGCGGCAGGCCUAACACAUGCAAGUCGAGCGGAUGAAGGGAGCUUGCUCCUGGAUUCAGCGGCGGACGGGUGAGUAAUGCCUAGGAAUCUGCCUGGUAGUGGGGGAUAACGUCCGGAAACGGGCGCUAAUACCGCAUACGUCCUGAGGGAGAAAGUGGGGGAUCUUCGGACCUCACGCUAUCAGAUGAGCCUAGGUCGGAUUAGCUAGUUGGUGGGGUAAAGGCCUACCAAGGCGACGAUCCGUAACUGGUCUGAGAGGAUGAUCAGUCACACUGGAACUGAGACACGGUCCAGACUCCUACGGGAGGCAGCAGUGGGGAAUAUUGGACAAAGGGCGAAAGCCUGAUCCAGCCAUGCCGCGUGUGUGAAGAAGAUCUUCGGAUUGUAAAGCACUUUAAGUUGGGAGGAAGGGCAGUAAGUUAAUACCUUGCUGUUUUGACGUUACCAACAGAAUAAGCACCGGCUAACUUCGUG